GGAUAUAGCUCAGUUGGUAGAGUAUUUGCCUCACGUGUACAAUGCCCUGGGUUAGAUCCCCAGCAACACA
rnacentral:tRNA from 1 species